AGUUUUGCAGGUUUGCAUCCCAGCUUGCUAAAAUUGCUGUGCAAAUCCAUGCAAAACUGA
rnacentral:pre_miRNA from 1 species